UACGGGGGGAGCAAGCGUUGUUCGGAUUUACUGGGCGUAAAGGGCGCGUAGGCGGCGCAACAAGUCACUUGUGAAAUCUCCGGGCUUAACCCGGAGCGGUCAAGUGAUACUGUCGUGCUAGAGUGCGGAAGGGGCUACUGGAAUUCUCGGUGUAGCGGUGAAAUGCGUAGAUAUCGAGAGGAACACCUGCGGCGAAGGCGGGUUGCUGGGCUGACACUGACGCUGAGGCGCGAAAGCCCAGGGGAGCGAACGGG
rnacentral:rRNA from 1 species